UGUUUGGUGUUUACACUAGACUGAUGAGUUGCGAACGGGUGAGUAACGCGUAGGUAACCUGCCUCAUAGCGGGGGAUAACUAUUGGAAACGAUAGCUAAUACCGCAUAAGAGUGAUUAACACAUGUUAGUUAUUUAAAAGGAGCAAUUGCUUCACUGUGAGAUGGACCUGCGUUGUAUUAGCUAGUUGGUGAGGUAAAGGCUCACCAAGGCGACGAUACAUAGCCGACCUGAGAGGGUGAUCGGCCACACUGGGACUGAGACACGGCCCAGACUCCUACGGGAGGCAGCAGUAGGGAAUCUUCGGCAAUGGACGGAAGUCUGACCGAGCAACGCCGCGUGAGUGAAGAAGGUUUUCGGAUCGUAAAGCUCUGUUGUUAGAGAAGAACGUUGGUAGGAGUGGAAAAUCUACCAAGUGACGGUAACUAACCAGAAAGGGACGGCUAACUACGUGCCAGCAGCCGCGGUAAUACGUAGGUCCCGAGCGUUGUCCGGAUUUAUUGGGCGUAAAGCGAGCGCAGGCGGUUCUUUAAGUCUGAAGUUAAAGGCAGUGGCUUAACCAUUGUACGCUUUGGAAACUGGAGGACUUGAGUGCAGAAGGGGAGAGUGGAAUUCCAUGUGUAGCGGUGAAAUGCGUAGAUAUAUGGAGGAACACCGGUGGCGAAAGCGGCUCUCUGGUCUG
rnacentral:rRNA from 1 species